rnacentral:rRNA from 1 species
CCUACGUGGGGCAGCAGUGAGGAAUAUUGGUCAAUGGGCGCGAGCCUGAUCCAGCCAAGUAGCGUGGAGGAUGACUUCCCUACGGGUUGUAAACUCCUUUUAUAAAGGAAUAAAGUGAGGCACGUGUGCCUUUUUGUAUGUACUUUAUGAAUAAGGAUCGGCUAACUCCGUGCCAGCAGCCGCGGUAAUACGGAGGAUCCGAGCGUUAUCCGGAUUUUUUGGGUUUAAAGGGAGCGUAGAAUGGUUGUUAAGUCAGUUGUGAAAGUUGGCGGCUCAACCGUAAAAUUGCAAUUGAUACUGGCAGCCUUGAGUACAGUUGAGGUAGGCGGAAUUCGUGGUGUAGCGGUGAAAUGCUUAGAUAUCACGAAGAACUCCGAUUGCGAAGGCAGCCUACUAAACUGCCACUGACAUUGAUGCUCGAAAGUGUGGGUAUCAAACAGGAUUAGAUACCCGGGUAGUC